rnacentral:lncRNA from 1 species
ACUCCUUUCUGGAAGCUCGCAUCAGCUGAAGGCUAUCGCCUGGGACUCCUCGGAAGCAUGAGCAAGCCGCCACCACGCGAAGGCACUGGGGCACAGCCAGCGCGAGGCGCCGAGGUCCCUUCCCAAGGCUUGUUAACACUGUAACCCGGCACUCGGAGAGAAGAAGCAGCUCACACUGCCCAGAGCCUACCUCACUGCACAUCAGAUGACUCCCUGGCUUCUACACACAGUUGGAGUUCCGCUUGAAACCUGGAUUUAGAGGGGUUCUCUGGCCGCCAUGGCACUCAAUCAUACCACCUAGAGUGGACUGGCCGAGACCAGACUGGGUACCAAGCAGAGAAGUGCAGAGGAAAGCACUGGGAGAGCACCAGGUAAACUGA